GAUGAACGCUGGCGGCAGGCCUAACACAUGCAAGUCGAACGGCAGCACAGCAGUAGCAAUACUGUGGGUGGCGAGUGGCGGACGGGUGAGGAAUACAUCGGAAUCUGCCCAGUCGUGGGGGAUAACAUAGGGAAACUUAUGCUAAUACCGCAUACGACCUACGGGUGAAAGCGGGGGAUCGCAAGACCUCGCGCGAUUGGAUGAGCCGAUGUCCGAUUAGCUAGUUGGCGGGGUAAUGGCCCACCAAGGCGACGAUCGGUAGCUGGUCUGAGAGGAUGAUCAGCCACACUGGAACUGAGACACGGUCCAGACUCCUACGGGAGGCAGCAGUGGGGAAUAUUGGACAAUGGGCGCAAGCCUGAUCCAGCCAUGCCGCGUGGGUGAAGAAGGCCUUCGGGUUGUAAAGCCCUUUUGUCCGGAAAGAAAAGCUCGGGGUUAAUACCUUCGGGUUCUGACGGUACCGGAAGAAUAAGCACCGGCUAACUUCGUGCCAGCAGCCGCUGUAA
rnacentral:rRNA from 1 species